rnacentral:rRNA from 1 species
GACGAACGCUGGCGGCGUGCUUAACACAUGCAAGUCGAACGGCAAGGCCCUGCUUUUGUGGGGUGCUCGAGUGGCGAACGGGUGAGUAACACGUGAGUAACCUGCCCUUGACUUUGGGAUAACUUCAGGAAACUGGGGCUAAUACCGGAUAGGAGCUCCUGCUGCAUGGUGGGGGUUGGAAAGUUUCGGCGGUUGGGGAUGGACUCGCGGCUUAUCAGCUUGUUGGUGGGGUAGUGGCUUACCAAGGCUUUGACGGGUAGCCGGCCUGAGAGGGUGACCGGCGACAUUGGGACUGAGAGACGGACCAGACGCCUACGGGAGGCAGCAGGGGGAAAUAUGGCACAAUGGGCGGAAGCCUGAGACAGCAACGCCGCGUGCGGGAUGACGGCCUUCGGGUUGUAAACCGCUUUCGCCUGUGACGAAGCGUGAGUGACGGUAAUGGGUAAAGAAGCACCGGCUAACUACGUG